UCCCAGAGUUGUUGCUACACAUUUACCUACAUUGUUGUUGCCAAAACCCAGGACCAAACCCAAAGAGUGGCAUACAAUUUACUUCCAGCUAUUCUGACUCUAGGCCAGCAGAGGCAGGCUGUUUAGAUGAUGGGAGUUGGAGGUACAUUGAGCUCUCUAAGUAGGUUUGCUGAAAUAGCUAUCUGAGAAUUUACUUAGUGUCUACUCCACAGGUGUGUACCCUCCAGAAACUGUGAAGAUGUUUCUCCUGUAUUCAAAAACAAAUUCUCCAUGAUCAGACCUGUGACAAUGGAGACGAAAAUAACAUCAUGAACAGUUUUGAGGAUGGGACUCAACAUCAUGAUAGAUUUAUGAACUCCCCAAAGGAAUAUCUAUGUGUCACUAAAAGGAAGCAGAAUAUUCUUUGUCCACAUGUCAUUCCUGUCCACAUUUGAGGUUCUGAAUUUGGGAAGAGUUCAGAGACACGAUUUUGUGCAAAGACAUACCCUGAAGAUGCAGCCUACCAGAAACACAAACCUUGUAUAAAAUGAAUUAAUGAUGACAGAGUGGACCUAACAUUGAAACCACAGGGCUUAAAAGAAUGAAUACCUAUUCUUCAUGAUCUCUUCUGUGAUAAAGAUAAGGUCACUAACCAUAUAACUAUUGAUGGAGAAGACAUAUAAGGGCAGAACAUGGUCACCAAACUCAA